UUUCCGGUUGAUCCCGCCGGACCCGACUGCUAUUUGGGUGAGAAUAAGCCAUGCGAGUCGAAUGGGAUACCUAAAAUUCCCAUGGCGAACUGCUCAGUAACACAUGAUCAACUUACCCUAUAGAGAAAAAUAACCUCGGGAAACUGAGGAUAAUAUUUCAUAGUUGAAUCGGCUUGGAAAAGUUUUUCAAUAAAAGGGAUAAGAAAAAUGGUUCUUAUCUGCUAUAGGAUAGGAUCGUGGACGAUUAUGGUUGUUGGUGAGAUAACGGCUCACCAAGCCGAUAAUCGAUAGGGGCCGUGAGAGCGGGAGCCCCGAGAUGGGUACUGAGACAACGACCCAGGCCUUACGAGGCGCAGCAGGCGCGGAACCUCCGCAAUACACGAAAGUGUGACGGGGUUACCCAAAGUGUUCAAUUCUGAACUGUGGUAGGUGAGUAAUGUUCCCUACUAGAAAGGAGAGGGCAAGGCUGGUGCCAGCCGCCGCGGUAAAACCAGCUCUUCAAGUGGUCGGGAUAAUUAUUGGGCUUAAAGUGUCCGUAGCCGGUUUAGUAAGUUCCUGGUAAAAUCGGGUAGCUUAACUAUCCGUAUGCUAGGAAUACUGCUAUACUAGAGGGCGGGAGAGGUCUGAGGUACUACAGGGGUAGGAGUGAAAUCUUAUAAUCCUUGUAGGACCACCAGUGGCGAAGGCGUCAGACUGGAACGUGCCUGACGGUGAGGGACGAAAGCCAGGGGAGCGAACCGGAUUAGAUACCCGGGUAGUCCUGGCCGUAAACGAUGCAUACUAGGUGAUGGUACGGCCAUGAGCCGUAUCAGUGCCGUAGGGAAACCGUUAAGUGUGCCGCCUGGGAAGUACGGUCGCAAGGCUAAAACUUAAAGGAAUUGGCGGGGGAGCACCACAAGGGGUGAAGCCUGCGGUUCAAUUGGAUUCAACGCCGGGAA
rnacentral:rRNA from 1 species